CAAAAAGUCAUAGUAGUAGUCACAAGACGACUCCUAGAUAUAUACCCAAGAGAACUGAAAACUUACGUCCUCAUAAAAAUGGUCAUAGUACCAUUAUUCCUAAUCGAGAAAACGUGGAAACAGCCUUAAUGCCUAUCAACUGAUAAAUGGAUACAUUCAAUGAGGUAUAUCAAUACAACGGAAUAUGAUUUACCAUAAAAAGGGUUGGAACUCUGAUGCUUGCCACAGCAUCAAUGAACCUUGAAAACAUUAUGAGAAAUCAAAGGCUCAGAGAGGUGAAACCACCCAAUGACAUGUGGCAUGUUACACAGUCUCACAAAUACGCAAGCAUCUUGAAUUUGGGAGCCCAAGGAGACCUUCAAAAAAUCUCAAGGUCAAUCCAUGUCUGGAAAGGGCAGUCUGGCCAAAAACACAUUCUGGUCACGACAGCUAUGGCGCUGGCUUCGGCCUGCUACAUCGUUCCAGGGCACAUACAGAAAAACUCCCAUCUACUGACCCAACAUCCUGGCUGCACCAGCUGCCUGCUUCGCCUGUACUUGGAAAUCAUCAGCUACCCAGUGAAGAUACAAGAGGCUAACUUGGAGAGGGUGGACCAGACCUGGUGGCUCAGGGAGACAGGGGAGACUGUCAUUUCCACUGGGGAAAUAACAAGGUUUCCCGUCUCACCCUGAAAGCACUUCAAUUUGCAGCCCCUGAGACAGUUAAAAACCUGAAAUGCUGAAGCCAGGAAUGUGUCACCUCAGCAGUCCAAGAACUUCUGUGCAGUGGGGAGGCCACCUCAGGUCCUACCCAACUUGGAACCAAAAAUUCCUGUGAAAUUUUUGUGAUGACCAAGGAAACUAUUCUCACAUUUACAACACAGGCAGCUGUGGGGCCAGGGUUGGGGUGAGGGGGACAAGGCAAGCCACAGUUCAGCCCAGAAGGGAGAGGCCUCCCUAGGGCAGCAGCCACCAUUUUGAAGAAAGCUUACAGUGACAGACAUAGUGUAGAGACAGUCACGGCAGGGGCGUAGAACUUCAGGAAAGUAGUUGAGGUGUUCUUUUUUGGAGCCAAUGAGGAUAGACAGUUUGUUCAUCAAAUAACUGGCUUGGAGCAUAGUGUCUUUUUCUUUUUUCUUUUUUUUUAAGAUUUUAUUUAUUUGAGAGAGAAAGUGAGAAAAAGAGAGCACGAGCAGGGGCGCAAGGGUAGAGGGAGAAGCAGACUCCCCGAUGAGCAGGGAGACCAAAGUGGGGCUGGAUCCCAGGACCCUGGGAUCAUAACCUGAGCCAAAGGCAGACACCCAACGAAUGAGCCACCCAGGUGCCCAGAGCAUAGUCUUUAAGGAAAAAAAAAAAAAAAAGACAACAGAUACCUCAUAUAUUUAAUUUUAACUUAAGACAUGUAAACACCAGUCUUUAAAUGUAGAUGGAGUUCCUUUCUUGUACAGUGGAUCAAUGAACUCCGAGUUGUCUUUCUUGCAUAGGUCUUUCCUACACACUCUUAGGUAUUGCCCUCAAUUUCCAGUUUGGGUCCUAUUGAAGCAGAGCAAAAUCUUAAGGGCAUUUGGGAAGCAAAUGGAAUGCAUUUUUCUGCAAGAUCUUUCCAAUCUUCUUUCCAAUCUUGUACAAUUGUGGUGUUCACAUCGAGUUCAAAAGCAGCUUUUUUAGCAACUCAUCAAAUCUUUCUGAGGUAAUAAAUUUAGUUUUCAAGAGGGUAUUACUUUCCUAUUGUUGCUGUAACAAACUGUCACAUAUUUAGCUGCUCAAAACAAGACCUAUUUUCUAUCUCCUAGGUCUGUAGGUCAGAAGUUCAGAGUCCUCUGCUUAGGGUCCCACAGGGCUGAAAUAGAGGAGUUGAUAGAAUCUCAUUCCUUACUAGAAGCUCUUAGGGGAGAAUCGCUUCCAGAAUCAUUUGGGAUGUUGGCAGAAUUUAGUUCUAUGAGGUUGUAGGAUUGAGAUCCCUGUUGCUUGGUGAGCUGUUGGCCAGGGGUCACUCUCAUGUUCUGGAGGCUACCCACAUUCCCUGGCUCUCAGUGUCCUUUUUCAAUCUUCAAAUCCAUCACAGGUGGGGUCAGUCCUCACACUUCUCAUCUCUCUGAUCUUUCCUUCUGCCUAUCUCUCCUGCCUCCCCUUCUGCUUUUACAGGAUUACCUUCAACCUUGCCCAGAAAAUCCAGGAUAAUCUCCUUAUUUUAAGGCUGGUUGAUUAAUAAUCUUAAUUCCAUCCUUUUAGAUCAGCACCUAGAGCUUGAAAAAUCAGGGGACAGGAAUCUUUGGUAAAAUUAGAAUUCUGCCUAUGCUAAAUAGAAUAGUCUCUUUUGCUUUAUACUCAUAGUUCACAAAUUAUGAAAUAUUUAAUUAAAUAUUUAAAAUAAUAAUUACAAGUGGCAAAAGCAAUCUGGGCACAAAUGACAACUGAACAACUUGAUUUGGAGGAACAGAAGUGUGUAAUUUAAAAUACUAGAGAGUAGCCUAUAAGCUGUGAGCGUGCAACACGGCAUAAACAUUUGUCAGUGCAUUUUCCCAAGAGGUGGUGAGUAUUGAUCGGUUAAAUGCAAGUUGGUUGACAGAAUUCUAGUGAAACCAAUGAAAGGAGAGAAGUCAUGUGAUCACCUUGAUAGAUGAGGACUGGAAGCUCUGAGUGGUUGGGGAUUGUUCUGAUGGCAUUUUCUAAAGGGUACUGGAUGGGGUCCCAGCCUCUUUUUGGCACCCCUCCCAGAUGAAAAGUGCCUGAGAUUUCUUCUUUGUUGGCUGAUCACUUUCUCUGGAGGGUAAUCCUCUAGAACUCAGUCUGUGGUGGAGCUAGUGAUAGGAAUAAGCCCAACCUGUAGUGUUAUGAGAGCCGAGCUUGGGAACAGGGCCAGUGGUUCAGAAUGUAGACUUUAAAAAUUUAUUCUGCCACUGUUUUCAGACUGUACCUCUUCCCGGUGUUCAGAAUGACCUGAUGUUGCCAAAUGCUUGAUUUUUGCCGGUUCAUGUUGAGUUUCUUGCUUCAAUUAUCUAGGCUUUGGCUUUCCUCCCCGCUUAGUCCUACCACUUAGCCAUAUGCUUUACAGCUUUAAAAUUUUUGUUUCCUCUGUUUCUGUUUCUGCAACAUCUGAAACACGGGUCCCUUUGCUUGGCACACAGUGCACUUUUCAAAAUGUCCACAAGUGAUUUGGACAUUUUACUACUUUUAUUGGGAAUGUGACUGUAACUUGAGACUUCCUUCACAUCACAUUGUUAAAAAUAUUGUAUUGAUCUUGGGGAAUGUAAACAACUGUUUUUGCUAUAUAAACAUCAGCACCAGGAUGCCUGGGUGGCUCAGUCAGUUAAGCGUCUACGGUCGGCUCAGGUCAUGAUCCCAGAGUUCUGGGAUGGAGUCCCACAUCAGGCUCCCUGUUUAGCAGGGAGUCUGCUUCUGCCUCUGCCUGCUGUUCUCCCUGCUUGUGCUUGCUCUCUUGUUCUCUCUCUGACAAAUAAGUAAAAUCUUGAAAAAAAAAAUUUUAACAUUAGGCCCCCAAAAUCUUACACUGUGAUAUAUAUUUGGAUAUGAAAAAUUAAGAAGCAUUUUAUUGAUAAAAUAUUGACUGGAGAGGCAUUCUGUAAUACAUACACCUUCUUCAUGAAAAGAAGAAGAAAGCAGGAAAGAAGAAAAAAUAAAAAAUAUAAGUAGAAAUAUCAAAUAAAAAAUAAAUCCCAAUAAAAUAUUGAUUAAAAUAUAUGGUAAAGCUAUGACAUUAGGGCUCUCCAGAGAAACAAAACCAAUGAUAUAUGUAUUUUUUUCUUCUUCAUAUAUUGUAUAUUAUAUUGUCCUUAAUCUUCCAUGAAAAAUUAGAUAUGCAUGAAUCCUACCUAAUGAAAAAGGACAUCUCAUCUCUUUCAUGCAGCAAUAAUUAACCACAUGAUUUCACACACCCACUAGGACUAAAGGUAUUUCAUGGAGGGAUUUGAGAGUAGAAUACAUUAAUAUGUACUGGUCACAAAUCUCAAAUAGGGUCAAUAUACAAAAGCCUAUGCUGAAAUUAAUUACACCUGUUUAAAAAUCCAUUCCCUUAAUCUUUUGUAGCAUAUUAGCAAAUACUUUAUCUAAAGGUUUAGCAUUGGAUUACUCCCUAUAACAAAUACUCUGAAUUAAAAUAAUGCCUGAAAAAGUUACUGACUUACUUCUUUCUACUGUGAAUUAUGUGAUAUUUAUUCACAUUUGAUUUUCAUUUAACUAUUUUCCUAUUUUUCUUUAAUCUUCACGUUACUUUCCUUUACACACUCUCUGGUAUUUUCUAAAGUAUAUAUUUAAAACAUAGUUUUAAUUAAAUUAAUUAAAUAUAAAAUAUACACAAGAUAUGAAGAAAAUCUAAAUGGAAAUAAUGUUUGUGGUUGACUUACAACAUUGAUGUAAGUUACCAUGAAAUAGGUGUUGGGGCAUCAUUAUUCUGUGUUAGUAAGACUGAGGAACAUUAAUCGGAUAAAUAAAAUGGUUUACCCAUUGGUCUUUAAGAAAAAGAGGUGGUAGGCCAGUAAAAAACUGACAUAGCUUCAUAAUAGCAAUAAUUAGAAGUAGAAAAUAAUAGUUGAUGUGGAUGAAAGGAAGAAAUCUUCUCAGAUAUCAGAGGGUAACUAACUUUUCCUAAAUAGGGCACAUAAUUGUAUAUCCACAUUUCUUAGUAAUUACCUCAAACCUGAAAAUUAUGGAAAUCACCACUCCCAGAUCAUUGUAUCAGCAUAAGUAUGCUGGUUGAAUGCCUAUAUUCUGU
ensembl:lincRNA